CAAGUCAACUGAAGCAGUGGUAGUAAUACUACUGUGGAGGUGGCGCACGGGUGAGUAACGCGUAGGUAAUCUGCCUUUGGGUCUGACAUAACUCCGAGAAAUCGAAGCUAAUAUCAGAUGAUGCAGCGGCUUGACAUCAAGACAGUUGUUAAAGCUUCGGCGCCCAGAGAUGAGCCUGCGUCCCAUUAGGUAGUUGGCGGAGUAAUAGCCCACCAAGCCUGCGAUGGGUAGCUGGUCUGAGAGGAUGAUCAGCCACACUGGAACUGAGACACGGUCCAGACUCCUACGGGAGGCAGCAGUAAGGAAUAUUGCUCAAUGGCCGAAAGGCUGAAGCAGCAACGCCGCGUGAAGGAUGAAGGCCUUUUGGUUGUAAACUUCUGUAGAGAGAGAAAAAACCUCCACUCUGUGGAGAUUGAUGGUAUCUCUAAAGUAAGCCCCGGCUAACUACGUGCCAGCAGCCGCGGUAAUACGUAGGGGGCAAACGUUGUCCGGAUUUACUGGGUGUAAAGGGUGCUCAGGUGGUUUUGUAAGUCAGAGGUGAAAUUUCGGGGCUCAACCCCGGACCUGCCUUUGAUACUGCAAAGCUUGUGUACGGAAGAGGCUGAUGGAAUUUCUGGUGUAGCAGUGAAAUGCGUAGAUAUCAGAAAGAACACCAGUGGCGAAGGCGGUCAGCUGGUCCGGUACAGACACUAAAGCACGAAAGCAUGGGGAGCAAACAGGAUUAGAUACCCUGGUAGUCCAUGCCCUAAACGAUGAAUACUAGACGUUGGGUGUAAAAACUCAGUGUCGCAGCUAACGCAUUAAGUAUUCCACCUGGGGAGUACGAUCGCAAGGUUGAAACUCAAAGGAAUUGACGGGGGCCCGCACAAGCAGUGGAGCAUGUGGUUCAAUUCGAUGCAACGCGAAGAACCUUACCUAGGCUUGAAACGC
rnacentral:rRNA from 1 species